rnacentral:rRNA from 1 species
CCCUUAGAUGUCCUGGGCCGCACGCGCGCUACACUGAUGCAUGCAACGAGUUUAUAACCUUGGCCUGAAAGGUCUGGGUAAUCUUUUGAACGAGCAUCGUGAUAGGGAUAGAUUAUUGCAAUUGUUAAUCUUGAACGAGGAAUUCCUAGUAAACGUGAGUCAUCAGCUCGCAUUGAUUACGUCCCUGCCCUUUGUACACACCGCCCGUCGCACCUACCGAUUGAAUGGUUCGGUGAAGAUCUCGGACUUCGAUAUUUAUUCUUUAUUGAGUUUAUAUUGUGGGAAGUUAUCUAAACCUCAUCAUUUAGAGGAAGGUGAAGUCGUAACA